CCAGACUCCUACGGGAGGCAGCAGUGGGGAAUCUUCCGCAAUGGGCGAAAGCCUGACGGAGCAACGCCGCGUGAGUGAAGAAGGUCUUCGGAUCGUAAAGCUCUGUUGUCGGGGACGAAAGAGUAGACGAGGAAAUGCGUCUACUAAGACGGUACCUGACGAGGAAGCCACGGCUAACUACGUGCCAGCAGCCGCGGUAAUACGUAGGCGGCAAGCGUUGUCCGGAAUUAUUGGGCGUAAAGGGAGCGCAGGUGGGACGGUAAGUCCGUCUUAAAAGGCAGGGGCUCAGCCCCUGUAAGGGAUGGAAACUAUCGAUCUUGAGUAUCGGAGGGGUUUGUGGAAUUCCUAGUGUAGCGGUGAAAUGCGUAGAUAUUAGGAAGAACACCGGUGGCGAAGGCGACAAACUGGACGAUAACUGACGUUGAGGCACGAAAGUGUGGGGAGCAAACAGGAUUAGAUACCCUGGUAGUCCACACCGUAAACGAUGGAUACUAGGUGUUGGCAAUGAAUAAUUGUCGGUGCCGGCGCUAACGCAAUAAGUAUCCCACCUGGGGAGUACGACCGCAAGGUUGAAACUCAAAGGAAUUGACGGGGGCCCCGCACAAGAAGGGCGAAUUCC
rnacentral:rRNA from 1 species